GACGAACCGUGCGAACGUUAUUCGGAAUCACUGGGCUUAAAGGGCGCGUAGGCGGAUGUGUAAGUCCGCGGUGAAAUCCUCCGGCUUAACCGGAGAAGUGCCGCGGGUACUGUUCAUCUGGAGUCGGGUAGGGGCGUGUGGAACCAUGGGUGGAGCGGUGAAAUGCGUUGAGAUCCAUGGGAACUCCGGUGGCGAAGGCGACACGCUGGACCCGUACUGACGCUGAGGCGCGAAAGCCAGGGGAGCGAACGGG
rnacentral:rRNA from 1 species